UAACGUCAUCCCCACCUUCCUCCGGUUUGUCACCGGCAGUCUCAUUAGAGUGCCCAACUGAAUGUAGCAACUAAUGACAAGGGUUGCGCUCGUUGCGGGACUUAACCCAACAUCUCACGACACGAGCUGACGACAGCCAUGCAGCACCUGUGUUACCGCUCCCUUUCGGGCACUCCCAACUCUCAUCGGGAUUCGGUACAUGUCAAGGGUAGGUAAGGUUUUUCGCGUUGCAUCGAAUUAAUCCACAUCAUCCACCGCUUGUGCGGGUCCCCGUCAAUUCCUUUGAGUUUUAAUCUUGCGACCGUACUCCCCAGGCGGUCGACUUCACGCGUUAGCUGCGGUACUAAGGAAGUCUCCUUCCCCAACACCUAGUCGACAUCGUUUAGGGCGUGGACUACCA
rnacentral:misc_RNA from 1 species